rnacentral:rRNA from 1 species
UUAGCUAGAGUCUUGUAGAGGGGGGUAGAAUUCCAUGUGUAGCGGUGAAAUGCGUAGAGAUGUGGAGGAAUACCGGUGGCGAAGGCGGCCCCCUGGACAAAGACUGACGCUCAUGUGCGAAAGCGUGGGGAGCAAACAGGAUUAGAUACCCUGGUAGUCCACGCUGUAAACGAUGUCGAUUUGGAGGUUGUGGUCAAGAACUGUGGCCUCCGGAGCUAACGCGUUAAAUCGACCGCCUGGGGAGUACGGCCGCAAGGUUAAAACUCAAAUGAAUUGACGGGGGCCCGCACAAGCGGUGGAGCAUGUGGUUUAAUUCGAUGCAA